UGAUAAUAAUGAUGACGAUGACAAUGAUGAUGAUGAUGAUGAUGAUAAUAAUAAUAAUAAUAAUAACAUUAUUAUUAUGAAUAAUGAUAAUUAUAAUAAUGAUAAUUAUAAUAAUAAAAUAUAAAGAAAAACUUUUGCAUUGUUAAACGUCAAGACGUAUUUUCCUUAUUUUAUUUCACAGAGUUUUACACGUUCAUUCAAUCAACAAAUGGAGAAUAAUAAUCUAUAUAUACAUUGGCAUGAUCAAUUAUUUCGAUUACUGAAAGAUCAUAAAAAAAAAAAAGAAAAAAAAACAAAUUGACAAAUACAAGAUACAUGAUAUUAUUACUUUUGACAAAUAACGAAACGGAUUACAAUGUUCUACUUGUCUCUGAUUGUAUUACUCAUGGGAUUACCGCAUGAAGGAGAUUAACAGAGAGAUUAAACGAUCAGUUGUUAUAGGAAACUGGUAGUAUGAUGGGAGAGAGAGAGAGAGAGAGGGAGAGAGAGAGAGAAAGAGAGAGGAACGAAUUUUAAUGGAAUCACUAAAGAUGCAACAUGUUCUGACGUAAAUCAACUGGAAUACGUAAGCUCGAAAUGCUAAAAUGACAAAGCUCAUCCUUUAAUCUCUCCAUAGAAUUUCGUCUCUCUCUCUCUCUCUCUUUCUCUCUCACUCUCACUCUCUCUGUCUCUCUCUGUAUCAUUGUUUCUCUCUCUGUCUCUCUCUCUCUCUCUCUCUCUCUCUAUACCUCAUUACUUCCUUCUCUCUUUUUUCUUUUGAACUGUACCAAGGAGAACGUAAGAACAAAAAUCGAAAAUAAAUAUUCUUAGGAAUAAUGAAAAUGAACGAAGAAUGAAAAUAAAUGUUUUAAAUGAAAAUAUUGCGGAUUUAUGAAAUACGAAAAGAAAAAAAAAAAAAGAAAAAAAAGAAAAAAAGAAAAGAAAAAAGAAGAAAAAAAAAAACCUAAGAAGAAGAAAAAUAUUAUCGAACAAGAUUUAUAAUAGAAUUUCAAUUCGUACAAUUUAAUUCUCAUUGAUAUAUUCUAUAUGGAAAAUUUUUAAUUUUAAUUAUCACACGUAAAAGUCCUUCAGUAUAAUAUAUUACAAGAGAGUCAUCAUUGUUGUUUUGUUUUUCUUUCAGGCAAAUCAACAGUCGCAAACUGUGAUUUGUCUGUUCAUUUCAAUCUUGGAUUUCGAAGUGUAUGUAUAUAUUAGGCAACGACAUUUGCUUUGAAAAACAAUCGAGAAAGAGUGUUCGUGUGUGUAUUGGUGUGUAUGUAUGUGUACGUAUUCGCAUCGAAGAGGAAAGAGCAAAAAAAAAAAAAAAAAAAAAAAAAAGAAAAAGAAAAGCAAAUCUUCACAAAAUUUAUUUAUCUCAUUAUUGAAGACACGUAUCAGGAUUCCUAACAAAAUGGCUAAUAGGAAUAUACCCGAUCAAUCGAAUGAGUUAUCAUCGACGAAGGAAGAAAAAUUGAAGGUUGGUAAUUGUCCUAAAUAUCAAUUGAAAAUCAGUAUACCUUUGGAUAAAUUAAGUGGAUACAUACCAAGAAAUCCGACAACAUCUAAUCGUGAUGAAGAUAAUCGUAAUGAAUUGAAGAGUUCAAGUUCGUCGAAGAAAAAAUAAAAAUAAUAAACGAAAUCUGUUCCUAAUCGAAAAUAUAUUCUCUUAUCGCAUAUCGCACUCGUUGGUUUUUACGACGAAGUAAACAAAAACAAAAAAAAAAAAGAAAAGAAAAAGAAAGACAAGAAAUGGAAGACCAAUUAAAAGAAUACCAUUCAAUCCGAUUUUCUUUCUAAUAAAUAAAAGAGAUCAUUGACUAUAUUGAACCAAACAAAUAAACAAAUAAAUAAAUAAAUAAAUAAAUAAAAAUGUCGAGAGAUUAAAAAGUAAUAAAAUCUGGGGCUUUUGCCCUUGACCUUUUUCAUUUCGUUUGAGGUCUAUCGUAAUAAAUUAAAAUAAAAAUAAGGAAUUUACAAAAAGGAAAAAACUAUCUCUCUCUCUCUCUCUCUCUCUCUCUCUCUCUCUCUCUCUCUUUCGUUUCAAUACGGUUUUCUCUUUCUUUAAAUCAAAAUGAACAUUUGAAUGGUAAAUGUAUAUCCUAGUAAUACGAGAUCUACGUUAGAAAAGCAUUUCCUCUUCGUGGCUAAUGGUUUUUCUUUACAAACGAUCCAAACUCGAAAGAAGCUUUAUACUCAUUUCUAUAACAUUCAUUCGAAAAAUCCGCAACGUGUAUUAGACGUAUGCACUUUCAAUACUACAUCUAAAGAACCUCGACGAAAUCUUGUUUCUCUAGCGAAGUCAGUGUUUAUAAUAAUAAAACAAAAAAACAAAAAAGAAAGAAAAAAA